AGAGAGAGACAUGCGCGCAUAUCAAUAAGCGGAGGAAAAGAAACUAACUAGGAUUCCCUCAGUAACGGCGAGUGAAGCGGGAAGAGCUCAAAUUUGAAAUCUUCAAGGUUCUACCUUGACGAAUUGUAGUUUAAAGAAGUGUUUUCUGCUGAAGUUUUGGUAAAAGUUCUUUGGAAUAGGACAUCAUAGAGGGUGAGAAUCCCGUAUUUGACCAUUAUUUCAGCUUUGUGAUACACUUUCAAAGAGUCGGAUUGUUUGGGAAUGCAGUCCAAAAUGGGUGGUAAAUUUCAUCUAAAGCUAAAUAUUGGCGAGAGACCGAUAGCGAACAAGUACCGUGAGGGAAAGAUGAAAAGAACUUUGAAAAGAGAGUUAAACAGUACGUGAAAUUGUCAAAAGGGAAGCGUUUGACACCAGUGUUGUUUUCUCGAAAAUCAAUUAAAAAUGGCUCGAUUUUGUAUUGUUGAGACCUUAAAAGCUCACUGUACAUUUUUCGUGUCUUUUUUAAUGCACUUUUCGUUUAACAAGUCAACAUCAGUUUCUUUUGUUGUAAAAGGGUCAUUGGAAGGUGGCUUUCUUUUCGGAGAAAGUGUUUAUAGCCUUUGGCCUCUGCAAUCGGAGAGACUGAGGUCUGCAGCGUAGACUCUUCGGGGUUAGAUACAUUUGUGCUAAGUUAUAGCUUUUUAUAGACAACUUGUUGACUAUAAUUAGUCUUGUAGCUUACUCGCUUAUGCUAUUUUACCUACGCUUAGGAUGUUGAAGAUGUAGCACAUCAU
rnacentral:rRNA from 1 species